rnacentral:rRNA from 1 species
CGGGUGAGUAACACGUAGGUGACCUGCCCUGAAGAGGGGGAUAACAGCCCGAAAGGGUUGCUAAUACCCCAUGUGAUUGAUAAUUCAAUUUGUCAAUUAAAGGUUCCGAAAGGAGUCCGCUUUGGGAGGGGCCUGCGGCCCAUCAGGUUGUUGGUGGGGUAAUGGCCUACCAAGCCGAUGACGGGUAGCUAGUCUGAGAGGACGAUUAGCCACACUGGCACUGACACACGGGCCAG